ACCUUCGGUAUUAAAUGUCAUAUUGACGUAUCAAUAUAUUGGAUUUUUUCCUCUUCCUCAGUUCGGUUCCACUCGCAGUCGAGUUUGGCGCUGGUCACAAUUGGCCACCGUGUGUACUCAUCGUCGUCGUGGUCGCUUUGUUCGAUCGGAACUGCAAUUCGGUCGUAAUUCAAUAUUUUAUUUUACUCGCGCUUUCCCCCUUGUGUGCAUGUGGAUAUCCAUUUUUAUUGGAUUGUAAAUUUGUGAGUGAGAGUAAAUUUCGUGACAGUUUUUUUCCGUUGCCCGGGGAGCGCGUGUGAGGAGGAACAUCCGAAGCAUAAAUUAAAGCCUCACUUCCGGGGUGUCGGUGGCGGUUAUUACCAACGAGCGAGCGCAGGGGGACCAAUCAAGCGAACAAUACUGGAAGAAAAAUUAAGAUAAUUGUGUUUUUGGCACUCCAUAAACAGGCGGGCGACAGAAUGAUGGAUCAUGCCAUCAUUUCCAAGUAUACUGAUAUGCGGGUGAAAAUUUCCGGUUGGGACGAACGGGUACAGCAGUUUCCCAAGGAUUGCCCGUGCUGCUCGGUGGGGCGUGCCACCUAUCGCACUUUUGGCUACACAACCAAACAUUUUAUCCCGAAGACAACCACUCAGGCAAUGUACGAGGACGUUUGGAACAAUUCGUGCUAUCAUCAGAGAAGGACCUCCGCUUAUGGUCCCAACAGUUUCGAAAUCUACCGUUCAACGUACCAGACCGAUUUCAGCAAUCGAUUCCCCAUGGUAUACUAAUCGGUCCCAACGGACGUUUUACCAUGUAGUGCAAAAAUUUAGAGAUAAUGGUGAUAGAUGGGUCCGUAGCUGACCAGUCUCAUGCCUCAAUUGUGCUCUCGGUCCCAAAUUCAGCCACACCGGAGAUCAUAAUCAGCUCUGAAAUCCCUCCCGAUUCCUGAUGCCAGGCGACUACAUUAGCGAGAACGGCCAGCCAGCAGAGUGUGUGCGGUCAUCCGAAAAAGGGAACUGUGUCGACUAAAUCUACAGAUGAUGAUUAUUUACGAUAGCGGAAUGGAAACAUCCGGUUCGGCCGCAGGCAGCCAGGCAGGCUGCCGUUCAGGAGAGGAGAAUUUAUUGCCGGGCUUAGUCGAAGCGAGUGUGUAGCUCUGCGAACGUGUGUGUCAAGUUCCUAAAUUCUAAAUAAAGCCAA